rnacentral:rRNA from 1 species
UUGCCCUAGUAACGGCGAGUGAAGCGGCAACAGCUCAAAUUUGAAAUCUGGCUUCGGCCCGAAUUGUAAUUUGUAGAGGAUGCUUUUGGCAACGCACUUCUGAGUUCCCUGGAACGGAACUUCAGAGAGGGCGAGAGCCCCGACGGUGGACACCUCUCCUCUGCAUACCUCCUUCUACAGAUCGAGUAGUUUGGGAAUGCUGCUCAAAAUGGGAGGCAAAUUUCUUCUAAAGCUAAAUACCGGCCAGAGACCGAUAGCGCACAAGUAGAGUGAUCGAAAGAUGAAAAGCACUUUGAAAAGAGGGUUAAACAGUACGUGAAAUUGUUAAAGGGGAAGCGCUUAUGACCAGCCUUGUGCCUUGGAAAUCAUCUGGCGAUCUCGCCAGCGCACUUUCCUUGGUGCACGCCAGGAUCCGUUUUUCCAGGGGAUAAAAGCUGGGAACGAGGCUCUCUCCAGUGUUAUAGCCCUCUCUUAAUACCUCUGGAGGACCGAAGACCGCGAUCUGCAGGAUGCUGGCGUAAUGGCCAUCAGCGACCCGUCUUGAAACACGGACCAAGGAGUCAAGCAUUAGGGCGAGUGUUGGGUGUCAACCCGACGCCAAAUGAAAGGAACGCUGGUGAAAGCUUCCGCGCAUCAUCGACCGAUCCUGAUGUACUCGGAUGGAUUUGAGUAAGAGCCUUACCGCUUACACCCCAAAGAUGGCUAACUAUGCUUGGAUAGGGUGAACCCAGAGGAAACUCUGGUGGAGGGUCGCACGGGUUCUGACGAGCAAAUCGAUCGUCAAAUAUAUGCAGGGGCAAAGACUAAUCAACUACC